UCCCGGCCCGUCCCUGGGGCGGAGCGGCACCGCCCGCAGCUCCCGCUGGGGCCGCCCCGCUCCGCCCGCCCGGGCCCUCCCGGUUCCGGAGCGGCCGCGCAGGUGGAGCCGAAGCCCGCGGAGUCCCCGCGCGGCCCGGCCGGGGCCGCCCCCGCCCAAGGACGCUCCGGCAUCGCCUCGGUGCCGCCGCCAGCCCAAGGUAGGCACCGGGACCCCGGGACGAGGGGACACCGCGGCGGCCGCUGCUCCACCGCGGCCGGGGGACAGCCGCGGGUCUGUCACCCCCGGGGGUUGUGGCGUCCUCGUCCCCUCUCCGCGUCCCGGCUCGGCUCCGUUCCCCGCAGGAGGGAGCAGCCCCCGCUCCGAGGGGCUCUGCUCGCCCCCUCCCCAGCUCUGUCACCCCCUGCUCCCGCAGCCGCCGGGGCUGGCAGGGAACGGGCGCUCCGUGCGGCCCCGGGAGCUCCCCAGCCGGGAGCGGGCUGGGCUGCACGGGGAGUGCCCAUCCCGGGGCUGUCGGAUCCCGGCAGUGCCUGCCUGGGCUCUGCAGCUCCAGCCGGGGCUCGCUGGGGUGUCGGUGACCCCAUAUCGAGGGGACAGCUGCUGGCAGGGCUGUCACCCCCGGGAGCGGAGGUGCAUCGGGGGAUGGCGGCUCCCGGAGCUGCUGAUCCAGCCCGGAGGAGCCCGUGUCCCAUGGGAUGGGUGCGUGUGGCUGCGGGGCUCAGCUGCACAAGCUGCCAGAGCUGGGGGACAGAGCUCAGGCUCAGCAAUCCCCGGCUCGCCGCGUCCAGCCAGGCCCGCGGAUCUGUGGCUGCCUUCGAGAGCGUUCAGAUGUGGCAAAGCCGAGCCUGUGGUUUGCUGGAAUGUUUUUGUGCUAAUCCUGUUGCCUUUCCCUUCGGAAGGGCCGGUGCGAGCGGGGCUGUGAGGGCAGAGGAGCAGCAGCACCGCUGCGUUUGCUGCAUUUGCUGCAAGGGCGCCUCUCUCUCUCUCUCUUUUUCCAAAUACUUUGUGGGAAAAGGAUGUGCACUGGGAAAAGAGCUGUGGAUGCCCCAAAUAGCCCGGAUCCGUCUGCCAGAGCCACGAGCCAGUGCAGCCCACAGAUCUGUGCCCCAUCCCAGGUUUGCCCUGUGCUGGCAAUCCCUGCGGUCCCGGAAAGCAGCUUCCCACCCUUUUUCUGCAUGCUCAAAGUGUUAUCUGUGGUCUGGGGGCUUUGCUGAGUAAUGGGAUUACCCUGCAGAGGAGGUGUGGGAUGUGCCGGACCCGGCUCGGGCAGGACAAACGAGGUGUCAGUCACGGCAGAGGGAGGGCAGCGAGUGGCCGGAGGGUUUGGGUUCUGCGUUAGCGUUUUCCCGGCAGGAUGAGCUGUGAGCGGUCCUGCCCCGGGUUCGUUCCAGCAGACGGAGCUCCGGGAGGAUGGGGAGAGCGGGCCCCGCUCCGACGGUCCGGAUGCGAUGCCUCUUACCAGAUGUUCGCAGAGGGUUCCAGCCUGAAAUCUCAGCCUUUCUCAGGAGAUUUCAGGCUCUUCCUGGUUCGCAGCGAGGGUCGGAGGAUUUCAG
ensembl:lncRNA